rnacentral:lncRNA from 1 species
GGCACGUUUUGUACUGAGAACUAUCGAUGUAUAUGAGUCCGACUGGAAUACUAUCGAUAGCAUUAAGUACUUAGUACUAUCGAGUUAUUCGCCGUUAGAUUUAAUUCUUUGAUUAUUUUUACCCGUUAGAUUAUACUAUUCAACCAAUAACUCACUCAACCUUAUAGACCAAUAUUAUUAUAACGGUAUAUUUUUUCAUCCAAUGGCCGAAAACCUAAUAACACCAAUAGCUUUGUGCUAUUGAUAAUAUUCCA